AGCAUGGCGGCGGGGGCCCAGCGCCCCGUCGGUGGCAGCCGGCCCCAGCACGGCCACCACGCAGAGCCCUGCAGCCAACGUGAUCGGCUCUGUCAUCAGGGGGGCUUACCAAAUGGCGGAGGAUAAACGGGAAGAGAGCCCAGAGCAAGGGUAGCAUGGCAAGGUGUUCACCUCUGGGGGAAGUUCUGCUUCCCCUGUAGCUCACAGGGCUGAGCUGACGGUGGAGGCAGCGGCCAGUUUUAUUUCAGGUUGCUGCUGCUGAUGGGAGGUUUUUUCCCCUUGUGAGAACCAGGUUGUUUCAGGAAACAGACAUACAUACCUACACAGAAGACAGUGCCGCCUUGGCAACCAACGUACUAAUCCAGCUCUCAUUUCACAGGAGACCAGACAAACAGAGGUUCACGAGCGAUGCCAUGGCUCCAGCUGAUGGCCAGGGAUGCUAUGUGUCUGGAUCACCUGGCAGUAACAGCCAAUCACACAAAUGGCUUCUGAAGAGUGACAAAUGAGUAACACAAGACUUUCAUCGUACAUACAAAUACUUUCACCAUGUGAGUGUUGCUCAGAGUAUCAUGGCCAAAGAUACCUUAUGUCUACCAUAACCUGGGUGCAUGGUUGUGUGAUAACAUUGCAAGAGAAUCAUGUCCUUUAAAACAUUGAGAUUGAACAAGCUCACCAGCAACAGUGGAAGAUGAAAGAAGGAAAGAAGAGAGGGAAUACAUCUGGCUACUACAGGUACAGAGUUUGCAAAAACACAAACUGUCAGCCAGUUUGUCCAGCAGCCAGUGGCUGAAGCUGAAGAGAAAUAAAUUAAUGAAUAAUUUCUUUGUAUUCCGGGUAGAAGAAUGUUGACAGGACUGCCUGCAGUUAUCAGGGUUCCCAGCAUUUGCUCUAAACCUGGACAAAACAUGACAAGCCCAGUAUGUCUUCUGCCAGUGCUCAGUCACACCACUUUUACCCCAAAGUUAUCUGACAGAAGUUUGCUUGAAAUUUAGGUUGCCUCAGAAGUGCUAGCUUCGCCUGAGGUAAUUUAACGGGUAAAGGAGGGCAGCCCCAACAAAAGCUGACAGCACUGCAACUCCUAGCAUUGCAGGUAUGAAUACACAUUAGUUAUGGAGGGAUAAAAAUGCUUCUGAAACAUAGGCUAAACUAGUAACAUAAGCUGCUGAUUUUUUAAUCCGUAUUUGAAUAAACACAGUAUAUGAAUAAGUAGUCUUUUAGAGGAAGAAUGGAAAGCUUUUUUGUUGUUUUACAUGACAAGCCCUAUUUUCAAUGUAGUUUGCAUUAAAAAAAAGUUAGAAAUACAUGGAAAAUAGUUAAUUAAAAGUGUGAUUUUGUACACUGAAAAAUAAAUACAUUCUGAAAGACAACUAAAUAAUUAAAUCACAUAUGAGAGAGCACAGCUAAAUGGAGAGAAUGUGCAAAUGUCCUUUGAUAACACACAAGAAAUCCACCAAAAUUGACAUGAUAUAUUAGCGGUCACAAAUCUUUGUAAGAACAUGUAAGUGCUAAUGCACCGCUGUCCUUAUUUCACCUUCACUCAGUAACACAGCCAGAGACUUGAAAUUCCCUGGAGUAUCUACUUAGAUAACUUCAUCUAUGCGUUUCAUGACUAGUAAAAUCCAGCAAGAGUGCCCAGACCUUGUAUUAACACUGUAGGUUUUUUAUUUUCUGAGUGAACCACAUCCAUUACUUUAUGAUACUCCAUGUGUUUGAUGAUAGAACAUGGCAAAUAUAUUUGAAAGGGCAGGAAAUAAAGUUUGUUAGAAAUAACUUGAUUUGAGGAAGUAGGCUUGAAUAUCACCCAAACCCAGCUCUUAUGUGGCCCACUCACUUAAUUUCUGUCAUCCACUAUUAAUUAUCAACUUACCCAAAAUGCAAUCCUAUUAAAAAUACUUGAACUUUACAUUUGAAUGCUCAAGACAGGUCUUUGAGAGUAAUAAUAUUUCUAAUUAUCCUCUGCUCUGCAACUUUACCAUUUCGUUAUUUAUUUAUAAAUGGGGAUUAUCUUUAGUAUGUGUGUUUACAAACUAACUCCAACAGUAGAGGCUAAGAAAAAGCCUGAGAAUUGGCUUUGGAAAAGUGGUAACUAACUGUGGUUGGUAGAUACAUUCACACAAUAGCCAAAAAUGACAUCUCUAGGUGCAAGAACAGCAUUCAUGUUUUUAAUCAUGACUUACACAAGCUGAAGUUACAGAUCUGACAGUUUUAUGCAGAGGAGGUUGACUUAAUUCAUACCUCUCCUUAUGGAAUUAGAGUUGUAUACAUUCAUUCAUUAUUCUCCCAUUCUUAAGAUGAAUAGAAGUAGCGUUGUGCAGGGUCCAGUCUUGUCACUUGUUACACAAACCUGUAAAACACAGGUGUCAGGUGAGACAAGCUCCACCAUCAUCAGUACAGCAGUGAUGCUCAGUUCUGUGCUUCCACAUCAAAAGUGAACAGAGCUGAUUCUCUAGUAAUUCUGUGUUUGGCAUAGGCGGAGUCCUGAGGGAAAGCUGGCUGGUUUAGGCCAAAUCCUUUUAAAAAGACAUGAUGUGGCCUGGCAAGAAAAAUUCUUUAAAGUAGUAGCUGGUAGCUAUGACCGAACCUUCUGCUGAAAGCACUAGCCAGUGGAGUUCCAAGGUUAUGGACAGUCCUAAACUCUUACAAAAUUACUGUUGAUCUUUGAUGCACAAAUAGCCACAAUGGCUGAAAAAAACCUGAACUCCAAGUGGCCAAGAGUGACUCAGUUUUUGCUGUAAUAUCUUUCCUUCCUCUCUCAUGUUCCCAGGCAAAGUAAAGCUUCUCUAACACUUUCCGGGUAGGAUGACCUGGGUAGGCCAUAGUAUUACAUGUUUGCAUAUAUGGGGAUCAUUAUAUACUAGAUAUUACAGAAAGAAAUUGAAGGAAAGCAAAAAUGAUAAUGUUUGUCUUAGACUAAAAUUAACUUAGUAGCCCUCCAAUUAAAGAGACAUCCAGCAGAUCUACUAAAAACCCAUUUGCAAAAAUCCCCAAAGACUAGUGCAGUAUCCACUGAAAAGGCACAUACAAUAAAGCUGAAGCUAUCAUCUGUCCCUAUCCUUUUCAUUAAAAGCUAUAGUGAAAGUUAUCCUGCAAAAGUAAGAUUCACUGGGUAUUUUGUUGCACCACAGCAGCUAAUUUAAGAAUCAGACUCACUGUAUUUAUCUCAAAUAUUUUUAACCUAGAUUGACAUUUUAGAGAUGAACAAUGGAGAAUGAGAUACAGUUGAAAGCACUAUGAAUAAAUGAUAAUGUUUUACUCAUUUCAUAUUAAUUCCACAUUCUUAAGCUUUUUAGCAACCAAAUUAGUUAACACAUCUCUGCAGAUACACUUGCUUCAUAAAACUUAAAAUAAGAAAUGGCUUAAAUUGAGCAGGAAUGAAAAGUGGGCUGGCCGCUUGCCAUACUGUCUUAGACUACUGACAUAUUUUACCCAGCACUAUGACAUUCAGUUUUACCAGUUACAAAUGGACAAAACACUGUCCUUAAUAAAAACCAUGCUGCUUUCAAAUAAGACCUUAUUUAUUUCCAAGAUAAAACCCCACAACUGGGAAAAACUACAGCUUACAGUAUUUAAUACAGCUCUUUUAAGGCUUCCCAGAUUAAGUCCUUCUCUUUAAUUUAGAAAUAAAUAUUGUCCUAACAUUGGAUGAGAUCCUCAGGCAAAAUCUCUGUAAUAUCUUCCAUGCCUUGUUCAUCAAAUUUAAGAGUACCCUAUUUACAUGUGUUGCUUUUACAGUAGGAAAGGCAUAACUCUUUCAACCUAUUAAACAGGCUGAGCACCACCAAUGCUUCCCGUUUUCAGUUCUUCCAAAACAUUCUGGAUAAAAGCAGGUGAUACUAUUUGCAAUACCUUUUCCCUUCUGUUUUGAAGAGAGAUGAAGCCUUGCAUUUUUUCUGUUUCUUUCUAUGGGCUGUGAGGUUGCUCCGGAGGCUUGUGGAGCACGCUUCUAGUUUUAAGAGGCUUCAGGGGAGAGGUAGGUGCCUUUGAAUGGCUGCUUAUUGCUAUGCCUGCUCAUUGUUCAAGCAAUCAUGUCCUAAUAUCAGCAAAUUAAAGACAUUAAGGGCAUAGCUUGUUUGUAGCUGGAUGGAAUCUACAGAGGGUUAGAGGACAUAAAAAAUAAUGUUAAGACAAAACUGAAGAAGCAUACUUCUAUACAAUAUUUAGACAUAUGGAAAGAGAUCUGAAGUUAGAUACAGAAGCCAAGGAAAAUCAGUAAUGAUUCAGCAUAGGUGGUGAAGCAGGGUGGUAUGUCACUCUACUGCGUUUUCAGACAUUUGGAUUCUCAGUGGCAAUUUCUAUAUUUUUAUUUUAUUUUCUGACAGCACAUAGCUUUUACCUCACAAAAAGAAAGGCAAUCUGCUUCACAAAAUCUGCAAGAAGUCAGCAAGAGUGAGAAGCUUUUACUUUUACAAGAAUAGAUGAUCGUGUACACCUAACAAGGCACCUGCUCCUAUCUGAUGGUUACUAUAAAGUUCUCAUUUUGCAAACUGACAGCUUGUGGUAAGAAAGGCAGCAGUAUUCUCACAGUCAAGAGCUCAGUAGGAGUUCUGGAAGGUAAGAUACUAUCAAUUAGUUGAUCACAACACCAGGGAUGCUGAUUUACACAGACCCCAGCAUUACCUUUUUGCAAAACAGCAGAUCUUGAGUCAACAGGAGCUCAGUGGCAUACUCCCACUUCCCCCAUUACCUAAUCCAUCAGAACUGCUAGAGAAAUGAUAGCAAGCUAAACACAUAUGUUUAUAUAAGCAUGUGCAUAUCUUUGUAUGUAUGUGUGUAGGUGUCUCUAUAAAUACACCUAUGCUUCAGGAUACGUUGUAACUGUUUUCUUUUUCAGAUUCACUUCCUUGAUACCAAAGAGGCUGCUUGCAAUCUAAAGUGAUCUUGUUGUCUAAUCAUGCCCCUUAUGUUAAAAAAUCAUAUAUGAUUUCAGCAGGUUAUCUCCAAGGAGAAACUCAGAGGAGCCAGCAAUUUGUUUUUCUUCAUCAGUGUUGAAUUUUGUCAGUGCUGGAUUCCUAGCAUCUCUGAGACAGUGAGGUGCAAUACUUGAGUUUUAACUCACUUUGCAUCUUCUCUAUUUAAUUAAAAGAGAAACUACCUGUUGCAGCACAACAGACAAUUUCUAAAGUGUUUAUUAAUGUUGGUUGCAACAUUUGCAGUUGGAAUAAAGGAUUUCUGUUUUACAGUUCCCCAUUCAUUUAUUCCUUCCUGCCCUCUGGAGGUCUCAGAUUUUAUCAUGACAUGUCUACAUUUCAAAUUUAGCUAUCUUUUUCAGCUGUACAAUCCCAUUUUGGUGAUCCAAUCUCAUGGAAAAGUAGUUACAUUUUACUUUACACUCAGCAAUUUUAUUCUUUGCUUAGUGGAUACUAGGUAUCAAUAGAUUCCUUUAAAUUAUUGCAUAUAUUUGUUGGUAGGAGAUAGGACUUUCUAAUAGAUUUUUUUCCUAGUGUGUUAUUAUUUAAAAACAGGAAAAUUAAUUUUAAACCUUAGGAAAAUGUUAGCUUAGUAGACAGAAACUGAUACUUGUGGUAACAUUCUUAUGACUGUAAUUUGUCCACUGUAGAGCCAAAAUGCAUUAGAGCUGCACUUAUAUAUAAUAUGAAAGAUAACUGUCAUGUGCAUUGAUUGCUUUAAUUAAAAUCUGAAUCAUUUAAGAUGUGAAACAUUUAAGAUUAUUGUAUUAGUCUUUCACUUGCUAAUUCUCUCUCCUUGUUUCUCAUGUCACACCAUUCCAAAGAAUCAAAUCAAAACUAUGUAUGCAUACAAAUUUCCCCAAACAGUAUAUACUAAUUAUUUAUCUGAGGGCAAAGCGUUUCUGGAGGGUUUCUUAAUGAAGAACCAGAUGCCUACCAUGAAAAAUAAAUACUGUCUAAUUUUGUAUGAAAUUCCAAACCAGCAUCUAAAGCCUUGGAACACCCAUUUUUUUUUCCUGAACAGCCAAGAACUGCCACAGACAAUUUAUGACUCCUUGACUGGCCUCAGUGAGCAAAAAGAGACCACACAAAGGAUUGUGACCCUCAAAUGUAUUAGCUGUGUGUUUGACCUCUGAAAUACAGUUGAAAAGGAAACACCUUGCCCCUUUCCUGCUGUGACUGAAAUUUAUGGAGCAAAUGAUGCCCAAGCAGCUUAGCAAGACUAAUUAAGGACUACAUAAAAAAAACAUGGCAAAUUAAUAAUCUGAAUUCUAGUAGCACUACACAGGGUACUGAACCACACUAUGAAAUGUUACACUACUGGGCUUUGAUCCUGUCUGAGACUUCAUACAGAGAGUAAAAAAAAAAAAAAAUAAUAAAUUGUAUUUUGAGAAGGAGUAAGAGUGAUUGCUUAUGCAAAACAAGCCUAUAAAAUUUGCCACUGUGACAAGUCAAGAAGCUGUGGUAUAUUUAGUAGCAAAUUAGUAAUGAUAUGGUCUUCAGACUCCUCUGAAUGCACAGUAGGAAGCAACAUCAAUCACUUUUCCUGCUUCUUUCCACUCUUUCAGUUGACUUCCAAACAUGUGUCUAAUCCAUUUAUAUCAUAAUUAAUCCUGGUGUUCCCUUAACUUCCUCUUUUCUACUUGACAUCCUCUGACUCCCACAAACUUAUAUUAAGUUGCAUCAGAGAACAAUAUUUUGAUUAAAAAUAGAUCACAUAAGUCUUCAUAUAAUCUACAUACAAACAAGUCUUUUGGAAAUAGUAUUUGUGAUAAGUUGUUUAUCUUAGGUAAAUCACAGAAUCAUGGAAUGAUAGAAUAGUUUGGGUUGGAAGGGACCUUAAAGAUCAUCUAGUUCCAAGCCCCCUGCCAUGGGCAGGGACACCUUCCACUAGCCUGCAUUGCUUAAAGCCCCAUCUAGCCUGGCCUUGAACACUUCCAGGGAUGGGACAUCCACAACUUCUCUGGGCAACUUGUUACAGUGCCUCACCACCCUCAUAAUAAAAAAUGUCUGUCUUCCUUAUAUCCAGUCUUAGUCUACCUUCUUUCAGUUUAAAACCAUUGCCUCUUGUCCUGUAAAAACUCUCUUUGUUUUAUAAGCCUCCCAUAGAUAUUGAAAGCUACAAUAAGGUCUCCCUGGAGCUUUCUCUUCUCCAGGUUGAACAACCCCAACUCCUUCAGCCUGUCUUCAUAGGAGAGGUGCUCCAGCCCUCUGAUCAUCUUUGUGGCCCUCCUCUGGAAUUGCUCCAACAGGUCCAUGUCUUUCUUAUACUGGAGACCCCAGAGCUGAACACAGUACUCCAUAUGGGGUCUCAUGAAAGUGGAGUAGAGGGACAGAAUCACCUCCCUUGACCUGCUGGUCAUGCUUCUUUUUGUGCAGCCCAGAAUACAGCUGGCUUCCUGGGCUGCCUGUGCACAUUGCCUGCUUCUGUCAAAUUUUUCAUCCACCAGUAUCCCUGAGUCUUUCUCCACAGGGCUGCUCUCAAUCCUUUCAUCCCCCAGCCUGUAUUGAUACUGGGGGUUGCCCUGACCCAGGUGCAAGACCUUGCACUUGGCCUUAUUGAACAUCGUGAGGUUCACAUGGGCCCACUCCUCAAGCAUUUCAAGGUCCCAUUGAAUGGCAUCCAUUCCUUCAAGCAAAUCAAAUGCCCCACUCAGCUUGGUGUCAUCUGCAAACUCCCUGAGGGCACACUCAAUCCCAUUAUGUAUGUCAUUGAUGAAGAUACUAAACAGUAGUGGUCCCAGUACAGACUCUUGAAGAAUACCACUCACAACUGGUUUACACUUGGACGUUGAGCCUCUGACUGUAACUCUUGGGACACAGCCAUCCAGCCAAUUCCAUAUCAUUCUAAGGAUCCAUCCACCAGAACCGUAUGUCUCCAAUUUAGAGGUAAGAAAUUUGUGGGGGGACCAUAUCAAGGGCCUUUGAGAAGUCCACACAUUCGUAGUUCUUCCUUUGUCUGAUUCUGUGGACAAGGGAAAAUUAAAAGGAACAUAAUUUCAUUCCUAAAACUAUUUCUAUGUCAUGUGGCAGAUCUAUAAAUUAGAAUUGGGUCAUACCUGACAGCCAAGCAAAGAACUUAAACCCAAUUAAAAGAGAUAGUGAAUUUUUCAGGGAUUUUUUCUUUUUCUUUUUUUUUUUUUUUUUAAGCACAUCAGCAAAUGAAUCAGAGAAGAAGCACAGCAUGGAAAUCUAAGCUAGCCCAUCAAGGUCCAUUAGAUGCUGUCUACACUGUCAUGAUUUUCCUCAAUUAUUGUUUUGCACAAACAGCUCUCUUACAUUCCUGUCAUAAUAGCGGCCUCUUUCUAACCAAAAGACUGCAGUCUUAUCAGAUACUCCCUGUGAAUGAAAAGACUACUCGGGGAAUGAAAAUGAAAAUGUGUAGAUUUUAAUCCUAUCAAGACUAUUAGGAAAAACAUAAAUACUAUGAACUGCUGUGUUUCUAAGUGGUAUUUCUGAGCACAACCAUCUUUCAAAAACUUAGCACAAGAACCUUUACUUUGUGGAUCCCAAACACCCUCACACACAAGAUAUUUGUCAGAUACCCAUCUAUCUUUCUCAAAGCUUUCAACAGAAGCCUUCUCAGAUAUUAGAAAAGGCUACGGGGGGGUAUGGGUAGGGGUGUGGGUGGGGUGUUGGCUCAUCUAAAAUCUUUCAGAAUUUACAUCUAGGUGUUCAAUAACUAUUUGGAUCUUAUAAUAAGUGCAAAGGUGUUCUUAAGUCACUGAAUUUUACUUACAAAAAUAAAAGAAAUUAAGUAAUUGUGAAUGUUUAGACUGGCCACCAGGUCCACUGAUAAAUCUGAGAAAGUAGCCCUAACUGGGAAACCAUUACAGACUUGUGGGAUGUCUUCUUUAAUAAAUGUAUGUAUGAAAAUCACCUGGUUUAAAAUCCUGUUUAAAGAGCAUUUAAAUUCAGUAUUUAUUUAUUUCUCUAUCUAUAUAUCUGCAAUCUGUAUUUGAAAUCUUAUAUUUUCUGUGCUCUUUUUUUAAGAUACAGAAAAUGAAAGAAUUUCUAUUUACUGUAUCAUGCACAGGUUACAGGCUCCUGUGAUGUUAAUUCUGUGAGUAAAAAGUUAUUGGGUUUAUUGCCUCAUUUUCUUUUUAUUUAAAACUUAACACAUACACUGAUAAUGAUUUCACAAUGUCAUGAGCAAUGUCAAAGCAUUUUCUAAGCUGAAAUGUGAAUGUUAUGUAAAGCCCACAUUAGCCCCUAUUAAAAUUCAGCUAUACUAACAGCACUUUUUGGCCGCUAUCUAAGAAUUUUAUUUCUAAUCAAGCCUUAAUUUAUCCAGAAGGACUAGUCUGCAAUGCAUGCAUUCAGGACAUUACAUUAUGAAUUCAAUUAUCUGUUGUAUGUCCAAAAGGGAAGAACCAAAAUGUAAUAUAACAGGAUACUGCUUCACUGAUCUAGAACUCGUUGCCAUAUAUAUAUAUAUAUAUAUUAAAAAAGCUGAUUAAAAUGCAUACUUAAAUUGCACAAAUCCCACAAAUAUUUUAAACGUAAAUAAAGGAAUAUUUUUUCCUACAAAUGUGAUUCUACUGGAAAGCACUCAGUUUUGAAAGAUGCUAGCUAUUUGCAGCAAGAGUCUGAGAAACCUCACUCCCUUUCCUGAAGUUCAGCAUGAACUGAAAGGUUCUCAGAACCUCGAAGAAGCAAGCCAAAAGCAAUUACUUAAUAUGAAAUUUGUCCAGGUGCCUACCAGGGAUGAUGGUGAGUGGGAAGAUUUAUUUUUAUACUGUGGAAAGUGUGCUUUAUGCUUUGCAGACAGAAUCAAGAAAAACUGUUUGCCCUGAAGAUCUCACAGGCUACUUACAAAAAGCUUUCAGUGUUGCACCUUCUGUGUAAGCCCUGAGGAGCAAAGAUAUUUGAACAUCAGGGAAGACUCAGAAAAUGUAUAAACUAUGUCAUCAAAAAGGGCAAGAGCAGGAGUUUAUAGUGUAAAUGCUAGAAACCCCUCCUGUUCCAGGCAGGGAAAGGAAAUUGAACAUGGGAGGCAAGAAAUACAGAACCUGAUAUAAAUCAUGAAAAGAUAAAUAAAACCCUCUCAUUGCUUUCCCUGAACUUUGCACACAGGUUACAGUUACGUGUUUAAUCAGUGUGUUAUUCCUUCUGUUAGACCUCUGGAGAACCGGGAGCAGCUUCACAUCUAUCAACAGAUAACUUCAAGUCCUCUUGAUUGAUCACUAUUUUUCUCAGUGAGCUGGAAAUAAAAAUAAAUCGUUCUGUCAUCUUUCUUUACAAAAUAACAUUUGGUACUUUUCUGAUCCCUCCAGAAGAAAAAACGAAGGACUUAGAGAGAGAAGAAUAUAUGAGCUUUCACACAAAUUAUAUUAACCUACAUUACUAAUGACUGGAAAGACAAUUUCAACAUUCCUGAACUCAUGAAAACAGAUUCACGUUUUGGCUAUAAUAGGAAAGGUUAGUGCCUGUGAAGCCAGUUGAGGAUUUUACUUUGUUCUAGAAAUCUCUAUUUAAAAACUCUAACCUCCUUCUGAAUUUGAAGUCUUAAAUGGUCUUAUUUUCCACAGCUAUACCAUAAUAAAACAAAGAAACAAAAAUACAUCCAUACUAUACUAUAUUUUGAAAAUACUAUGGUAUCUAUCAGCAUCUUCAAUUUUUGGGUUGAGUAAAAGGUAUCCAACAUUUUACAAGAUAUGUCUGUCUGUGGUUUACUGUCGUCACCAUUGUGAAGAAAAAGUUGAGAUAACACACACUAUUUCAAUCUGGAUACACUUUUAAUCAAAAUAGUCUGAAUAGUUAGACUUUUUUUUUCCUUUCUGAAUCUGAAAUUAAGGAAUGUUUAAAAAUGUCUAGUUUUCCCCUAAAAGAAAACUUGACAGGUGAGUUCUG